AGGCAUGGACUGUGAGAUGGGACUGUGAGGUAUGUGACCAUGGGGUGUGGGCUGUGAGGUAUCAACCCUGAGUGUGAGGUGUGGACUGUGAGGUGUGACUGUGAGGUGUGGACUGUGAGGUGUGACUGUGAGGUGUGACUGUGAGGUGUGGACCAUGAGGUGUGACCAUGAGGUGUGACCACGAGGCAUGGACUGUGAGAUGGGACUGUGAGGUAUGUGACCAUGGGGUGUGGGCUGUGAGGUAUCAACCCUGAGUGUGAGGUGUGACUGUGAG
rnacentral:lncRNA from 1 species